GAGGUGAGAAUACUAAGAUGCUCCAGAAUGUUGCAGGCACUUUGGAGAUACUGAAUCAAUGCAGUUGGAGACGGCAUAGACUUAUUUCACCUUCAUUCUCCCACCAGGGAAGGAUACGUCCUUUAUGCAAGGAGGCUGGCAGGACUUUCAGAAGUUGCUCAGCUCCCUGGACACGUCUACUGCCAUGAGAUGUCUCAGCCAAGGAUUUUGAGCCAAGAUAUGAGGGAAAUGGUUUAACCAGAUGUGUGCCCAUGCCUGCAACACUGAGCUUUGAGAUGCUGAUAUUUAAAAAGCUUGUCAUCUCCCCUGCCUCCCAGCAGCAAGGGAAGACUGAAGCCACUGAGCAUGGAAUCUAGCCCGUCUUCUAGCUCCCCACGUGCAGCAAAAACAUUUACAGACUGAUCUUCUAUGGCUUCUUUCAAGCACUGGAGUUUCCUGGUGUUUAUGUUUUCAGGGCACAAGCAAC